ensembl:lncRNA NREP-AS1 NREP antisense RNA 1
AAGAAUCAAGUGUACAUCCCAAUCUGAAUUACUGCAUUCAAAGAAAAAUUACCACUGCUAGCCACUCUACAAGAAUAGCACAAGAACAAGAAAGUCACCUAACUUGAAGACUUGGUGACCAAAACUCAUCCAGCAAAGAUAAAUAACAAAGAACAAUAUUGCUGAUUAAUCUCUUCCUAGGAUGUACAAAGAGAAAACACAAGGAAAAACA